AGCAGGGAAGCAGCUAACGUUAGCUUCCCAGGCUCACUUGUUAGCCAAACUAUGUGUCACAUGAGACUAACAUCUACGGUACGACUGCUUGUCCAAAGGUCCUCUAUUGCAUAAACUCACCCUAUGACUGCACCAGGAUAACCUGGAAACAACCAGGAGGAAACUAGCAGCUGGCAGUCUGCCAACUGUAGGACAAUGCAGGAGGAGGAUCAUCCUAAAUAUACAGCAAAUACAGCCGGGGAGUUUUUUAUGACCCAGCAGUGGGAUGUUCUCCACUGGCAUUGUCAUUCACCUGACCUCAGUCCAGCUGAGCAGGUGUGUCACUCGCAGAAAAUCAGGCCGAAGGCAAAAGACCAGUUUGCAGUUCAGCUGACCAAUCAUGGCGUGAAGAGGGUCUGAAUGUUGGAUCAUUUGUUUCGAAGACUACAGAAAUUACCUCUAAUCUGACGUCAGAAAACUGAAGCUUUCCAGCCGUCAGACAAGCACUUCUGACGUAUACUGGUCCCUGAAGGCAAAAGCCAGCAGCUGCUUAGGUUAGCUUAGUUUAGUUUAGCACAUAGACUGGAAACAGAGUUAAACAUCUAGCUAGCCACUGCUACCAAAAAGAUGAGGCUACCGGCACCUGUAAAGCUCAUCAAUCAACACAUUAUAUGUCCUUUGUUUCAUCUGUACAAAAAGCAAAAUGUAAAAACAACUCACCAUUUUAAACUGAAUUAUGAGCCAGACUGUUUCUUUCCAACCAGCCAUUUCCUGUCUUCCAACUGCUCUGAGCAGUUGGAAGGCGACCAGUCUGUCGGCCUGCCAGCACCAGUUUGGUCCAGACUGAAAUAUCCCAAAUGCAGUUGGAUGGAUUGCCAUAAAAUUUGGUACAGACCUUCAUGCCCCCCUCAGGAUGAAUGAAAGUAAUGAAUGAAUGACUUUGGUGAUCCAGACAUUUCAUGAAACUAACGACAUUCCCAUCAGCCUCAACUGUCCUUUGUGUUUAGUUCUAAUUAGCAAAUAUUAGCAUGCUAACAUGCUAAACCGAGAUGGUGGAAAUGAAAAAAAAAGAUGUAAAACUUGCUAAAAGUCAGCUUCAAGAUUCAACAUUACUUUAUCGUCAUCUCUCAACUCACAUCCAUUGAAAUGAAAUUCUGUUUCUUCUGGACCAAAAACACUUGUAGAAUAAACCAGUAACUACCAAAAAUAUACGAUUCCCAAAAAUAUAUUAAGAGUUUCAGAAACAUAAGUAAAAGAAUUAUAUAAAUACACAUUAAAUACACAUUAGUACACAGCUUAUUAACAGUGCUGUUAGCCGUGUUUCCAUUAACCUAUUUUUAUAUGCAUUUUGAAAUAUCACAUUAAAAAACCUUAAUGGAAACAUCAGAAUUAGAAGAAACUUCCUCAAUUUCACAAAAUGUUUUUACGCUAGCAAAUGUUUCAAAAGAGUUUAUUCACAAAAUGGAUAAUGGAAACGCAUUUCUGGAAUAAAUAAUGACGUAGUGAACGUUUAACUCACAUGACUGAUCAGCUGUUUCUGCUUUUGGCGUCUUCUGACAUUCUGAAAUGUCGCAGUCAAAGGCUGGAUGUGACCUAUGACCUCCCAGGACUCGUGUGUGCUGUCUCUCCCUUACUGCAUUAGAAUCAUUACUUUUCUUUGUCUGCGUCUCCGGAUGGCAUAAAGCACGGCCAAUAAACAAUUACAACCUCCUUUCAAAUUCCUGAAGACCUCUCUCUAUUUAUCUCUCGUCAAGGCAAUAUAACUUAUUAUAUAUAA